UGGGCGUGGUGGCGCAUGUCUGUAAUUCCAACUACUCGGGAGGCUGAGGCGGGAGAAUUGCUUGAACCCAGGAGGCGGAGGUUGCAGUGAGCUAAGAUUGUACCACUGCACUCCAGCCUGGGCCACACAAAGCAAGACUCCGUCUCAAAAAAAAAAAAAAAAAAAAAAAAAGAAAGUGAUGGUCUGUAGCUGAUGCAGUUAUGUAACAUGCCACACCUUCCAUUUUAUCAUUUUUAAUACGGAAUAAAAUCCGUCCACCAGCUUCUAGGAGACAACGUUCAAGGCUGAUGUGGUGCAGGUUGUGUUUCUGCCUGGUGCAGGUACUGCCAAGAUAACAAGAGUUUGACUGUUUUUAUGAAGAUCAAUGACUCUGACCCCCACAAAGGAUUCCUCUGUGAGUGAGGGAUCAGAUGACAGCCCGUGGACAGCUGGCAUUCCUCAGCCUGUUGGUCAGACGAUGCUCCCUCCUCCGUACAUACAGAAUUCCACUCUGCAGGCGGCAAUGUUGUGAUGGAAUAUGCUCUGAGAGAGAGAGGAGGUGACUUCUGCCAGGAGUGAUCAGGAGGACUUCUUGGAGGAGGCAGCACUUGAACUGGUCUUGAAAGAUGAUGAGAUUUUAAUGGGAAAAGAGACGAUCGAGAAGAACCUUCCAGCAGGAGGGAGCUGCCUUAGCAAAGAUAGGGAGGCUGGAAAACGUGAGAAGUGGGACAGGAAGAUCAACACAGGACCUCUCCCUUCUGAGCCAAACUGACACUUACCUCUUGCCAUGAAAGGUCGCUCUUCCGGAGAUUAUAAGCUAUUUAUUUUUAAUAGAGAAACUGCCUUAGUUUGAGUUCUGGCUGCCACUUAUUUAGAGGAAAGGCCAGGUCAGGACACAGUGAGGAGGCGCCCCGCAGCCCCAGGCAGAGCCCUCACCACGCCAGCCCUGCUGACGCCUCGAUCUCGGACUCCCGGGCAUCUGCUGCAUAAACCACCCCGUCCGAUGUAUUUUCCCAUGGCAGCUUGAGCAGAAUGAGGCUGGGGCUUUGGAAGAAGGAACUUCACAUGACCUCUAAUGACUACUGAGUUCUUAUGAGGAGUGCCUCGUGCUUUGCAGCAUCUAACGUCUCGACAGUGACCUGCUAGUUCCUAUCCAGCCCGUCAGCAGAUCACGGUCACAAACCCUGGGAGAGGUGGGCUUGCCAUGCCACUGCCCCUGCUGAUUCUCCAUCCAGCUGCCGCCUCCUACUGCAGGGCACCGCCGCUCCUUUCUUGGGUCCUGGCAUGGCUCGUGGCAAUUAUCUCCCCUACCCCACCCCCACAACUGACGACAUGUUUCCUGUGUGAGACUCUUUGUCUCCCGAGAAGCAGACACCAAGACAGGAUGAGAGACGGAUUUUAUUGGGAAAAACACCUGCAGGAGAAAACGGGUCUGCGCUGCCUCAGGUCUGAAAUGAUGUCUUCUCUCUCCUGUUUUGUGAGCGGCUCGUUCUGCUGUCAAAUAGGCCCUUUCCCCAGGACCCUUGGGGUCCAGCAUAGGAUCUGACCCGGCAGGACCUCAGCAAAGACUCGUGGCUGCUUUCAGAGUGGACACCUGCCGUCACGUUUUCCUGAGCAUUUCCCUAUGCUGCCGGCGCACUGGGGAGCUCUACUCAACCCACAACGGACUGCAGAUCUUUUGGCCGCUGCAUUCACAACUUUGUCCCGAGCCGCUCCGUGGGAGGCAUCCUGGAAGCCUAUCGGUCUUCCCACGAGCGUUCAAGACUCCCAGAUCCCCACGGGCCCUGAUACCAUCUCUGUCUGAGCAGCUGCCCGUGUGUGCGGGAGCACCCUGCCUGAGGCGGAGGGAGCACAGCAUCCGUUCGGAGGUGGGUGGACCUUACGUGUUCUGCACAGGGCUUGAGGUAGGUCUUGGAGAGCAGCCCUGGCCCCUCACCAGGGGACAGUAGGUGGGGUUCUAAAUUCUGAGUCAUUCAUCUCCUCUUCAUAUGUCUGAAUUAUUCAUAUAUUCCUUGUGGUUUGGAUGCUAGUCUAUGAAUAUGUAGGCAAAUUGUUUAUUAUGGCAUUUACAGGGAUUUUGCAAAAAAGUUAUCCAGAAACCCUUUAGAUUCAGUGGUUGAAUUUAACAAAUAUCUACUGUGCACCCACUCUGUGACAAAAAUUAUGAUUGGUGUUAAGGAUAUAAUGAUGAAUAAGAUAAUAAGCACCUGCCUUCAGUGUGCUCUGGGGUUAGCAGGGAGAAUACACAAUCCAGCUGGUCUACAGAGACUGACUUAUUAUCAACGUUUAUCACAGCGUGUGGGAAAUAUGAGCUAAUCGUAUGUCAGAUAAUAACAUGACCACGCCAAAACCAAACCAAAUCAAAACAGGUCAAGAAGCCAAACCAACAAACCAACCCCAGCACCACAACAGAAACUAACUCAAGUAACAUUGAACGUGGAACCUUGACCACAACCCUUGACCUGCAGACAAAAUACCUGCAAACAAAUAUCUGCAAACUCGACUUGUGGGUUUGCUUUCACUUUGGUGCAGGGCAGCAAUUCUGUAAUGAUUUUCUGUCUUGUAGGAUUGAGCAAAUACAAGAUUCCAUCAGUGCUGUUGGAA
ensembl:lncRNA